CUACACAUGCAAGUCGAACGAGGUAGCAAUACCUAGUGGCGGACGGGUGAGGAAUACGUAGGGAUCUGCCCUUAAGUGGGGGAUAACCCGGGGAAACCCGGAUUAGUACCGCAUGAUCUCGAGAGAGCAAAGCAGGGGACCGCAAGGCCUUGCGCUUUUGGAGGAACCUACGUCGGAUUAGCUAGUUGGUGAGGUAACGGCUCACCAAGGCGACGAUCCGUAACUGGUCUGAGAGGAUGAUCAGCCACACCGGAACUGAGACACGGUCCGGACUCCUACGGGAGGCAGCAGUGGGGAAUAUUGGACAAUGGGCGAAAGCCUGAUCCAGCAAUGCCGCGUGUGUGAAGAAGGCCUUCGGGUUGUAAAGCACUUUAAGUUGGGAAGAAAAAGCUCUGGCUAACAUCUAGAGCCUUGACGGUACCAACAGAAUAAGCACCGGCUAACUCUGUGCCAGCAGCCGCGGUAAUACAGAGGGUGCUAGCGUUAAUCGGAUUUACUGGGCGUAAAGCGUGCGUAGGCGGUUUGAUAAGUCGAUUGUGAAAGCCCCGGGCUUAACCUGGGAAUUGCAGUUGAUACUGUCAGACUCGAAAACGGUAGAGGGAGGCGGAACUCCAGGUGUAGCGGUGAAAUGCGUAGAUAUCUGGAAGAACACCGAUGGCGAAGGCAACCUCCUGGGCCUGUUUUGACGCUGAGGCACGAAAGCGUGGGUAGCAAACAGGAUUAGAUACCCUGGUAGUCCACGCCGUAAACGAUGAGAACUUGACGUUGGUUUGCUUAGCAAAUCGGUGUCGUAGCUAACGCGAUAAGUUCUCCGCCUGGGGAGUACGGCCGCAAGGUUGAAACUCAAAGGAAUUGACGGGGGCCCGCACAAGCGGUGGAGUAUGUGGUUUAAUUCGAUGCAACGCGAAGAACCUUACCUGGUCUUGACAUGUCAAGGAGUCUGCAGAGAUGCGGAUGUGCCUUCGGGAACUUGAACACAGGUGCUGCAUGGCUGUCGUCAGCUCGUGUCGUGAGAUGUUGGGUUUA
rnacentral:rRNA from 1 species